AAGAUCUCAAGUGUCUUGAAAGCUGUCAAGCUUUUACUUUUUCUUGUUUGUUGUUACAGCAUCUGAGAACUCAGCAAGUCCUGAAGCAAACUGGAUUAGGAAGCCAUUAUAUGGAU
rnacentral:lncRNA from 1 species